rnacentral:rRNA from 1 species
GACGAACGCUGGCGGCGUGCUUAACACAUGCAAGUCGAACGGAAAGGCCCUGCUUUUGUGGGGUGCUCGAGUGGCGAACGGGUGAGUAACACGUGAGUAACCUGCCCUUGACUUUGGGAUAACUUCAGGAAACUGGGGCUAAUACCGGAUAGGAGCUCCUGCUGCAUGGUGGGGGUUGGAAAGUUUCGGCGGUUGGGGACGGACUCGCGGCUUAUCAGCUUGUUGGUGGGGUAGUGGCUACCAAGGCUUUGACGGGUAGCCGGCCUGAGAGGGUGACCGGCCACAUUGGGACUGAGAUACGGCCCAGACUCCUACGGGAGGCAGCAGUGGGGAAUAUUGCACAAUGGGCGGAAGCCUGAUGCAGCAACGCCGCGUGCGGGAUGACGGCCUUCGGGUUGUAAACCGCUUUCGCCUGUGACGAAGCGUGAGUGACGGUAAUGGGUAAAGAAGCACCGGCUAACUACGUG